rnacentral:lncRNA from 1 species
UUAUUGCAUUCUUUUUUUGUUCUUUACAUCCUCUCUUGUAUUUGUAAACCACAUCCAUUUUACAGAACACUUUUAUGUUUGUUAUCAUAUUUUAAUCCUCACAGCCACCCUGGAAUAAUGAAGUAUGUUAAGGACACAAAUGCUGUUAAUGAUUCCACUCUUUAAGGUGAUAUCUUAAUUAGUCAGUGAAUGCACAGUUUCAUGGCAGACUUUUCGAAUGCUUUGGCAUAUGACUGCAAGUUAAUGGCCUUCCCUGAUGGGUGCUGCUAUAGUUUGAAUAUGUCCCUCAAAGUUUAUGUGUUGGAAACUUAAUUGCCCUUUUAACAGUAUUAAGAGGUGGGGCCUUCAAGAGGUGAUUAGGCAAUGAGAGCCCUACACUCACAGAUGGAUUAAUGCCAUUAUCAGGAGAGUGGGUUAGUUAUCAUGGGAGUUCAUAAAAGGAUGAGUUUGGCCUGAUUUUCUCUCUCUUUUUCAUGUGCUGACUUCCACUUUCUGCCUUGUGCCAUGGGAAGACCCUCACCAGAUGACAGUGCCAUGCUUUUGGACUUCCCAACCUCCAGAAAUCAAGGACUAAGAGACACCCCUAAGGAAGAAAAGUAGUAGUAGUGGCUUGGAACCAGGACCCACAAUAUCUCCAAGGAUGCCGGUAUAUCCCACUUCAUUUCAAUGACCCACUUACUGAGUUACAUUCCAUACUACAUUAUCAAUGCCUCCAAGUCAGAGACUAUGUCUUACUUUUGUUUGUAUGUCUAGUUGCUAGAAUAGUUCUGAGUGCACAGUAGGUGAUGAGGUUUAUUUUGAUGUUGAACAAAUAUGUACAACCUGCAAAGAUAUUUUUACUCAGUGCUUUAUCCAUUCAGA